rnacentral:rRNA from 1 species
UUAAAUCCCUUAUCGAGGAUCCAUUGGAGGGCAAGUCUGGUGCCAGCAGCCGCGGUAAUUCCAGCUCCAAUAGCGUAUAUUAAAGUUGUUGCAGUUAAAACGCUCGUAGUCGGACCUCGGAGCGCCCCCACGGGCCGGGCUUUUGCCUUGUUGCCAGUGGGAGUUUGUCUCCUCUUGUCGGGACGCGGUGUGUGGGGACUUUACUGUCUCUGCGCGUUUACCUGCGGGCCGACCGUUUACUGUGAARAAAGUAAAGUGUUCAAAGCAGGCCAUUGCCUUGAAUAUGUGARMAWRGAAUAAUAGAAUAGGACUUGGGCUCUAUUUUGUUGGUUUCCAGUGACCAAGUAAUGAUUAAUAGGGACGGUUGGGGGCAUUCGUAUUUCAUUGUCAGAGGUGAAAUUCUUGGAUUGAUGGAAGACGUACAACURCGAAAGCAUCUGCCAUGGAUGUUUUCAUUGAUCAAGANCGAAAGUNAGGGGAUCGAAAACGAUCAG